CCUACGGGAGGCAGCAGUGGGGAAUAUUGGGCAAUGGGCGCAAGCCUGACCCAGCAACGCCGCGUGAAGGAAGAAGGCUUUAGGGUUGUAAACUUCUUUUAAGGGGGAAGAGCAGAAGACGGUACCCCUUGAAUCAGCCACGGCUAACUACGUGCCAGCAGCCGCGGUAAUACGUAGGUGGCAAGCGUUGUCCGGAUAUACUGGGUGUAAAGGGCGUGCAGCCGGAGAGACAAGUCAGAUGUGAAAUCCACGGGCUCAACCCGUGAACUGCAUGUGAAACUGUUUCCCUUGAGUGUCGGAGAGGUAAUCGGAAUUCCUUGUGUAGCGGUGAAAUGCGUAGAUAUAAGGAAGAACACCAGUGGCGAAGGCGGAUUACUGGACGAUAACUGACGGUGAGGCGCGAAAGCGUGGGGAGCAAACAGGAUUAGAUACCCCAGUAGUC
rnacentral:rRNA from 1 species